rnacentral:rRNA from 1 species
UACAGAGGGUGCGAGCGUUAAUCGGAAUUACUGGGCGUAAAGCGUGCGUAGACGGUUAUCUAAGUCGGAUGUGAAAUCCCCGGGCUCAACCUGGGAACUGCAUUUGUGACUGCACGGCUGGAGUGCGGCAGAGGGGGAUGGAAUUCCGCGCGUAGCAGUGAAAUGCGUAGAUAUGCGGAGGAACACCGAUGGCGAAGGCAAUCCCCUGGGCCUGCACUGACGCUCAUGCACGAAAGCGUGGGGAGCAAACAGG